UGUAAGCGUAUACCAAAGUUGUUGCAGUUAAAACGCUCGUAGUCGGAAUUUGGCAGUUCCGGAUGUGUGCACGUCGUGUGCGCACUUCGCGGGGAUUGCUUUUGUGGUCUUGCGUAGGAUGAGGCACUUUUAUUAGUGAACGUCCUCACGCAACCACUUUUUACUGUGAGAAAAUCAGAGUGCUCAAAGCAGGCAUUUGCCGUGAAUGUAUUAGCAUGGAAUAAUAGAAUAGGACUUGGUUCUAUUUUGUUGGUUUGUUGGGACUGAGUAAUGAUUAAGAGGGACAGUUGGGGGCAUUUGUAUUUCGGUGCUAGAGGUGAAAUUCUUAGAUUACCGAAAGACAAACUGCUGCGAAAGCGUCUACCAAGGAUGUUUUCAUUGA
rnacentral:rRNA from 1 species